CAGUUCCACAUUACACCAUACCUAGAUGUAUAAUCUUACUUCUAGAGUCAAGUUAGCACAAGUUGAUCUGCAUGCUGUGGCUGUCACUGUGCAUGUGAAUCAUCAUGGCUGUGUACAUGAAAUUGUAUCUAUUGCUAGCACUCAGUGCACUGGUCCUCUUUUCGGGGACGGUAAACUCUCAGAUUAUAAAUUGUACUGACACAGUACCACUACCUGCAUCAGACAAUUCUAGUUUCGCACAAGCUGAGAGUUUCACCGAGACGAAUUGUUCUUUUUCAAGCAAUAUGACAUCAUGUUAUGAAAGAUGCUUGAGGCCAGCUAUCACUCUGACACCUGGUAUGGAUGCUUACGCAGAGUGUACUGUGCCAGAGAAUACAAACCAAAAUAUGUUUAACAGAGCAAAAAUUGCUUUCUACCCACCUAAUAGCGAACGGUGUGUCAGAUUUCAAACAGAAACUGGUAACGUUUGGCAUCGUUACGAUGAGCACAUUCACUUCCGUAGAAAUAACGAAAAAAUUGAAGUAUUAAUUUUAAAUGUUAUGCCGGAGCACCAUAAUCUGUCGAUUAUUUGCUUGGCUACAAGAAUGGAUGGUACUGUUAUUACUGUCCCUGAAGACUGUGUGGAUGCCUCCAGAGCUAUUAUAUAUGUUGGUGUUGAAGCAGCUCCUGAAAAUGUGACAGAUACAGUCCCCACAAGCACCAUUCAUUAUAACCUGACAGAUACAGGCCCCACAUUAAUAAGACCCACAAGCACCUACAUUGAUUACACUACGAUGGGCAUAGCUAUAGGAGGGAUCUGCCCCCCUGGAGAUAAUUAUUAUUGAAGUGAGUCUAUUGUCUUAUUUCAGAUCAUGCUACAAUUGUAUUGGCUGUUUUGGAAGCAAUCACGAUCACAAUCGCAAUUGUAAUAUCAUCGAUCCUCUUUUUCAAAGUGCUUAGUCCGCAACAUCAGAAUAAUGUCAAGCUUAAGGGUCCCGAAGGUUCGAACCCUGCAAGUUAUCAUGAGACUGCAAAUGAAUUAAACGGGGACAAAACCAAAUUAACGAUUUAGUUUAUGCAGAAACCACCUUAGUGUCGUGAGGCUCAGCUGUUUAAUAUUAAUCGUCACGGUAGCAUUAUUGUAUAUAGUAAAAUACAUGCACUUCAUGAAUACAAGAGUCGUCACACUUAUGAAAGUUGAAUUGAACAUUGA